ACUGACUCUUUAAUAAAAAAGUCUCCUCCAAACGCAAAUAUGUAUACAAAAUUUUCCUGUCGGUGGUACUCUUUUCUGCAAUUUAUUUAAUUUUCAACCAGGGAUCGGAAAGAAUCAUGCUAUCUAUCGGAAGAAAUGAAGGACCAGUGUACUGCCGUCUGAUACCAUUGUAAAGCCUCUGUUGAGAUAUUUUGAAAACUCACGGGAGAUGGAUCUCCAGCCACCACAGUGCCAGAAAGACCACUCGGACUGGCAAAAUAAAUUGCACUCAAAUUAUCGAAAGCUGACAUGAAGGAAUAAGAAAAUAUCUACAAAAACAGUACAAAUUGGGAGAAAUUGAAAAAAAAAAUCAACUGGGUAAUUUUCAUAGUUGGAGGUUUUCAAAACAAACACCCUACAUCCUGGUCCAACAACCCCAAAUAAUGAGUCCAAAUAAUAAUGACUAUCCAGCAAUCCAAGGUCCUGGAUGAGAUCCCUUUAAACUCUGAAUUCUCUGUGGGACUCGACGAGUCCUACGAGUCCCUUCUGACGAGUUACCUGUUUUAAUAUCCGAAUUUUUGUUUUCUGACAACUUUGCUUCAGAAGAAUUCUACGAUUCUGCAAAUCCAAGAAGUCUUUCUGGCACUGUGAUAUCUGAGAAUUCUUCUCCUGGCAUUUUUCAAAAUAUCUCAGAAGAGGUUUAACAAUCGGGUAACACACGGCAGCACAUUCAUCUUCCAUUUCUUCCGAUAGAUAGGACGAGCAUGGAUUUUCCACUUAGAAUAACUUUUUAAUAAAAAUAAUAGUAAAGAGUCAGAAUUUUAACCAAGAGCAGAAUAAAGUACCACCGGAAUGAUCCUUA